CAGAGCUGCCACAACCCAUCUUCCCACAACUCGGAACUUGGAAAAAGGAACCCAGGACACGACUUUGCUUUUCUUUUGGACCUAGUUGAUACAAGUUAACAGGAUAUGCUUCUGGCGUGUUUCUGGAUUCUAAGGGUAGAACCAGCAUGAAACUAGUCAGUCCAAGUAUUUCUAAAGAUCCACAGACACAGUUCUCCUAGAUUUGGGAAGCCUAGAGAUAUUAGCACAAUAAUUAUGGCCCAACAACUUUUAAAAGCAUUUCCAUUGCACAGUGAAAGAAAACCACAAACUCCUUGUUUAAUAACUCGGAUCAUGUGCUUUUAACGAGAGGAAAAGGUCAAGUCUGAAGCAACUGAUAUGGAACUGCCAGAGUAGGAGUUGAAAAUAUUCCUAAACUGCUGGAGGAUACACCUCUGAUAGCUUGAGACAAAUAUCCUCUUGAUUAUUGUUUCACCAUAUUUGUCUUUGCUCACAGAGAACCAUUUUGACCUGUGGUUUAGCCUCCCAGGUGAUUGAACAAUAGCGGUGAUCUGAGGCAGACCCUCUGUGACGGAUAACAGGAAAGAAUAUUGAUUGAACAUCUACUCAAGAACUGCAAAACAGAGAUUACCUGACCUAAAGAUGAAUCCAGGAUUCGGUGGUGCCUGUUCCAGGAACCUUUAGUGUGAAGGAUCCUCCAGAUGUGCCUUUUGUCUUCCACCAUGAUUGUGAGGCCUCCCCAGCCACACAGAAGCUGAGUCCAUUCUCAAUUUUCUGUGCAAAUUGGGGAAGGCUGUUGAUAAUCGGUGGGUGCUAUAGUGCCCAUGGAAAGACUCUAGGCUGAAGAUACCAGCCUCUCCCUCCCAAGAUCACCUCCCUUGACCAAUCUUCUCACACUCCUGACAGAUACAAGGGAGCAAACAAGUUGCACCCAGUCUGAUAGUAAACUGCAGGGACAUUUCCAUUCUAAGGAAGGAAUUUUUGUGUGUGUUGCAACUCAGCUUCUGCUCUGGCAUUUUGCUGUGCAUUUAUAUUGCCAAUCAUGUUGGAGAGUCCAUGUGGUGAUUUCUGAAAAUGAGAUGUGAGAAAGAAGAGGAUAAUUUAAGUCUAGACCUACAGAUUGUGCUGAUAAAGUGAUGAAGAGCUACAAUCUUCU
rnacentral:lncRNA from 1 species